GCAUCUAUUCUUUUCGAGGGUUACGAGAAGGAAAAUGAAGACAUAUUGAAUUUCAAGCCACGAAAAAGCAAAACAGGGGGCAGAGAUUCCAUAUUCUCGUCUUCACGUCACAGUAAUGGAUCGGAUAAUGGUCGGACGAUUACUGGCAGACUACAAGUUGACCAACGCAGCAGAUUUUUAGAUAAUCUCGCACCAGAGACUAUCCUUAGUGCAGAUCAUGCUGCAGAACCAUUAGAUAUUCUCGAUGUCCACAGUGAAGGUGAUGUCCUUCUCGUUAACGACGACGCUGUCUACACAUGGAACCCUUUGGAGCCCUCAAAAUUCUGCAACCUAUACGAGCCGAACAUUGACAAUGUGAAAAGUGAUUACGUACAAAUCAGCUGCGCGGGAUGGCAUGACAGUGCUAGGUUGAUUGCCACUGGAACAACCUUGACACAGACCCGGGGC